AGAUUGACACAGGGAAAGAGAAGUUUUUGAGCGAAGAGUCUAAAGUUAUGCCAUGAAAGGUGUGACCUUUUUUAUGCAUCUACUGUGAAUAUUAAUUUUCUAACUGGGGAGCCUUUUAAUGUCUUUCUUGUCUUUCAAAUCCUGAAGAGCAUAAAUUGUUUUCAUUCUUAAUAGGGCAGGAAUAAUUUUAUAAUAUUAUAACAUUAAAAAUACUUAUAAGACUUUGGAAAGGAAAAAUAAUUGUAACUUAUAUAAGGCCAUUUCAGCUACUUUUUGCCCCAUAUUCCCCCAGAACAUUGGUUUCUACCAUGUUACCACCAACCCCAUGUUUUUUUUUUCUUUUUUUUUUUAAUUUAGAGAAUACUUUAUUAGUUUUUGUAAUCAAACCCACGUAUAUAAGACCUUACAUAUUUAAUACAGUGUGUUACCCCUGUACAAAUGGAAAAAACUUAAGUUCAACAUUUCUAGACCAAUAUGGCUGUUAAUUUCUGUACAGUGCCAACUCAACACAGUAAACGGGGAUACUUUUUUCCAAAGUUGACAGCACAGGUAAAGUUUCCAAAAAUUCAAAUUAUAUAUCUGUAUAUAUAUAUUUAUAUUUAUAUAAAAAGACCAAUAAUAGCAGUGUGUUAUGCAUCAACAGCAGCAACAGCUUUUCCAGGUUCUGCAGUCAUCUGAACAAAACUGUAGAGACAUCCAGCAUACUCCUUU
rnacentral:lncRNA from 1 species